rnacentral:rRNA from 1 species
GACGAACGCUGGCGGCGUGCUUAACACAUGCAAGUCGAGCGGUAAGGCCCUUUCGGGGGUACACGAGCGGCGAACGGGUGAGUAACACGUGGGUGACCUGCCCUCAGCUCUGGGAUAAGCCUGGGAAACUGGGUCUAAUACCGGAUAUGACUCCAUGACGCAUGUUGUGGGGUGGAAAGCCUUGUGCGGCUGAGGAUGGGCCCGCGGCCUAUCAGCUUGUUGGUGGGGUGANGGCCUACCAAGGCGACGACGGGUAGCCGGCCUGAGAGGGCGACCGGCCACACUGGGACUGAGACACGGGCCCAGACUCCU